AGCAGCGUAGCUCAAAGAGCAUGGGCUUGGGAGUCAGAGGUCAUGGGUUCAAAUCCCAGCUCUGCCA
rnacentral:tRNA from 1 species